GCCGAGGUGGCGGAACUGGUAGACGCGAAGGCCUUAAGAGCCUUUGACCGCAAGGUCGUGUGGGUUCAAGUCCCUCCCUCGGUA
rnacentral:tRNA from 1 species